GCCUGGCUGGCUCAGUCGGUAGAACAUGUGACUCUUGAUCUCAGGGUUGUAGGCUCAAGCCCUACACUGGGCC
rnacentral:tRNA from 1 species